AUACGGAGGAUCCGAGCGUUAUCCGGAUUUAUUGGGUUUAAAGGGUGCGCAGGCGGCCAUUUAAGUCAGCGGUUAAAUCGUGGGGCUCAACCCCAUUCUGCCGUUGAUACUGGGUGGCUUGAUUGCGGUCGAGGUUGGCGGAAUUCGUUGUGUAGCGGUGAAAUGCAUAGAUAUGACGAAGAACACCGAUUGCGUAGGCAGCUGACCAGACCGCAAAUGACGCUCAUGCACGAAAGGGCGGGGAUCGAACAGGAUUAGAUACCCUGGUAGUCCGCACAGUAAACGAUGAAUACUUGUUUUCGGCGAUAUAAUGUCGGAGGCAAAGCGAAAGCGAUAAGUAUUCCACCUGGGGAGUACGCCGGCAACGGUGAAACUUAAAGGAAUUGACGGGG
rnacentral:rRNA from 1 species